rnacentral:rRNA from 1 species
AUUGAACGCUGGCGGCAUGCCUUACACAUGCAAGUCGAACGGUAACAGGUCUUCGGAUGCUGACGAGUGGCGAACGGGUGAGUAAUACAUCGGAACGUGCCUAGUAGUGGGGGAUAACUACUCGAAAGAGUGGCUAAUACCGCAUGAGAUCUACGGAUGAAAGCAGGGGAUCGCAAGACCUUGUGCUACUAGAGCGGCCGAUUGGAGAUUAGGUAGUUGGUGGGAGAAAAGCUUACCAAGCCGACGAUCUGUAGCUGGUAUGAGAGGACGAUCAGCCACACUGGGACUGAGACACGGCCCAGACUCCUACGGGAGGCAGCAGUGGGGAAUUCUGGACAAUGGGCGAAAGCCUGAUCCAGCAAUGCCGCGUGCAGGGUGAAGGCCUUCGGGUUGUAAACUGCUUUUGUACGGAACGAAAAGCCCUGGGUUAAUACCCUGGGGUCAUGACGGUACCGUAAGAAUAAGCACCGGCUAACUACGUGCCAGCCGCCGCGGUAA